UACACCAAAAUCGUCGACAGUGGGGGUGACAGCUGGGGACGUCGUAACCGAACCGGCGCCAGUCCAGAAGCCGACAGUGAGGCCCUGUCCGAUGGGGUUGAAGGGGGCUAUAUGCUCCUGCCGGAGGGCGGGGGUGUGUGCCUUUGUCGCGGAGAUCGGGUCAGGCCCUGACGGGAGCAGCCUUACCGCGAACUAUCAACGCUCACCGGGAAGCGGGACCGAGGAGGUUUCUGGGUAGCUGGCGCAUGGAGAGGCCGGCAACCCCAGUGGCCUAGCA
rnacentral:SRP_RNA from 1 species